GGACAAUUCAACGGAGAGUUGAUGUGGCAAACGAAAAGUUACUUGCGUGAGAUGGAAAUAAAGAAGAAAUUUGCUGUUUUAAGUCCAUGACAGUAUCAAGUAACAGUCACUGGUGUGAAUGAAGCCUGUUUGAGAAUUGUACAGUUACAGAUCAUUCAUCCCUUAGAUGAAUGUGUUGCUGUACUACUUUAGUAAACGGUUGAAUAAAUUGGAUAUAGAAGAGUUUGACCUAGUCGUAUUAUCCUAUAGCAUAACCAUCCAAUUACACAAGUAGACAUUAUUAAACUCAUAGAUCCUUAGGGCUUCGGACUAUUGUUAUAAAUAUAGCGCCGAUACCACCCCCGUAACAGGUACUCGUCCAAAUAUAUCUCCGUAUUGUACAGAACAAUGUUAAAUAACCUAUAAUAUAUUGACGAGUGGAAUUUGACUCCAUGAAUCUACUGUCACAGCUGGCGAAACUCAUCGCUCAUGAAACAGCAUUUAGCGUUAAAAAGAAAGGUGCUUGUACAUGGCAUUAAAAAAAUAAAAAAAAUAAAAAAUGAAAUUAUGAAAUUGAUAUAAUUAUACCCCUAAAGUUUUCACUAAAAUAAAAGAGUCGUCGGAGUGUUGAAUCCCAGUCGCGUAUGUGACAGGCUACCACCCGACCGCUUGACCAUUUUAAGUAGUUAUAACUAGUAGUGACUCUAAUACAAAUAAGGCAAAGCAAAUCAUGUUGAUCUCCCUAAUCGACGAACAAGUCUAUCAGUUGAACUCUCAACUGUACAUUUAAAGACU